UAGGUUUUAAUUUACUGAAUAACAUUUUCAUUCUCGCAUAUAUAUGUUUAAGGAAUCAUAUAUACUUCGUGAUUGAGGACUGGUUCUCGAGAUGUUUAGAUGAGCAAGGAAAGGACUGAGUUUGGUAAAGUCUCAGGUGAGUUUCGUGGCAGAGGAGGUCGAAGAAGGAUUCACUAGCGAUCUCAAAACCAGUUCUGGUGGAGUACCCUCGGCUGGAGCUCCCUGGUGAAUUGGUGAUUGUUCCCGAUUGCAUGAGGUGAAGAAGAGAUCGGGAAUCUGUCAUCCAACAGCUAUGGUUUUUUCAGCAGGAGUUCAGCAGUGUGAGUUAGUUUCGGACUUCGGUCCGAUGCAGGGGACAAGGUCCCAGUCAGUUCCGGACUUCGGUCCGAUGCAGUUUCCGGACUUCUGCCGUUAGUUCCGUACUUCGGUCUGAUGCAGAGGGCAAGACCCUGGUACUCAGUUUUCAAAAGAGGAGCUCGGGAAGAUUGUAGUGCACACACUAUUUGUUCAGCCUGGGAUGUUUAUACUCUCAUAUAUUUGACAGUUGUUAAAAUAUUUUGAGAUACAUUAUGUAUGAUUUUUAUAUGACGUUUGAUGAAUAUGGUUUUAUCACUAAUUUAAAACGAAAUUUUCAGACUGUAUUUUUGGGAUGUUUCGAGUUGGUAUCAGAGCCUUGGUUUGAGAGAUUCAGGCGCACUCACGAGUGUGUCUGAACUCAAAAUAAGGAAGUGGUAUAAAGUUUUCAAGAGAAAAACCAUGGUUACAAAAGAAUUUUGAGAAAAGAAAACAAUUUUAGAAAAAUUAUAAAGAAAAGGGUUUUAGAAAAAGCGAAAAGAGUUUUGAAAAGAGAAAAUGGUGUGGUGCAUGCGAUUAGCCGAGCUCAAGUAAGUACUCCCAAAUUACCCAUACAAGCUUAUGUUAUGAUUAUCAGUUU